GACGAACGCUGGCGGCGUGCUUAACACAUGCAAGUCGAACGGUAAGGCCCUUCGGGGUACACGAGUGGCGAACGGGUGAGUAACACGUGGGUGAUCUGCCCUGCACUUCGGGAUAAGCCUGGGAAACUGGGUCUAAUACCGGAUAGGACCACUGCCUGCAUGGGUGGUGGUGGAAAGCUUUUGCGGUGUGGGAUGGGCCCGCGGCCUAUCAGCUUGUUGGUGGGGUGAUGGCCUACCAAGGCGACGACGGGUAGCCGGCCGGAGAGGGUGACCGGCCGCACUGGGACUGCGAUACGGCCCAGACUCCUACGGGAGGCAGCAGUGGGGAAUAUUGCACAAUGGGCGCAAGCCUGAUGCAGCGACGCCGCGUGAGGGAUGACGGCCUUCGGGUUGUAAACCUCUUUCAGCACCGACGAAGCGCAAAUGACGGUAGGUGCAGAAGAAGGACCGGCCAACUACGUGCCAGCCGCCGCCGUAA
rnacentral:rRNA from 1 species